GACGAACGCUGGCGGCGUGCCUAAUACAUGCCAGUUGAGCGCUGAAGGUUGGUACUUGUACCAACUGGAUGAGCAGCGAACGGGUGAGUAACGCGUGGGGAAUCUGCCUUUGAGCGGGGGACAACAUUUGGAAACGAAUGCUAAUACCGCAUAAAAACUUUAAACACAAGUUUUAAGUUUGAAAGAUGCAAUUGCAUCACUCAAAGAUGAUCCCGCGUUGUAUUAGCUAGUUGGUGAGGUAAAGGCUCACCAAGGCGAUGAUACAUAGCCGACCUGAGAGGGUGAACGGCCACAUUGGGACUGAGACACGGCCCAAACUCCUACGGGAGGCAGCAGUAGGGAAUCUUCGGCAAUGGACGAAAGUCUGACCGAGCAACGCCGCGUGAGUGAAGAAGGUUUUCGGAUCGUAAAACUCUGUUGGUAGAGAAGAACGUUGGUGAGAGUGGAAAGCUCAUCAAGUGACGGUAACUACCCAGAAGGGGACGGCUAACUACGUG
rnacentral:rRNA from 1 species